AGGACGAACGCUGGCGGCGUGCUUAACACAUGCAAGUCGAGCGGUAAGGCCUUUCGGGGUACACGAGCGGCGAACGGGUGAGUAACACGUGGGUGAUCUGCCCUGCACUUCGGGAUAAGCCUGGGAAACUGGGUCUAAUACCGGAUAUGACCUCCUAUCGCAUGGUGGGUGGUGGAAAGAUUUAUCGGUGCAGGAUGGGCCCGCGGCCUAUCAGCUUGUUGGUGGGGUAAUGGCCUACCAAGGCGACGACGGGUAGCCGACCUGAGAGGGUGACCGGCCACGACUGGGACUGGAGACACGGCCCAGACUCCUACGGGAGGCAGCAGUAGGGAAUAUGGACAAUGGGCGCAAGCCUGAUCCAGCAAUGCCGCGUGAGUGAUGAAGGCCUUAGGGUUGUAAAGCUCUUUUACCCGAGAUGAUAAUGACAGUAUCGGAGAAUAAGCCCGGCUAACUCCGUCGCCAGCAAGCCGAC
rnacentral:rRNA from 1 species